rnacentral:rRNA from 1 species
AGAGUUUGAUCAUGGCUCAGGAUGAACGCUAGCUACAGGCUUAACACAUGCAAGUCGAGGGGCAGCAUGGACCCAGCUUUGCUGGGUUUGAUGGCGACCGGCGCACGGGUGAGUAACGCGUAUCCAACCUGCCAUUUACUCCGGGAUAGUCUCCUGAAAGGGAGUUUAAUACCGGAUGUGUUUGUCUUUCCGCAUGGGAGCGACAAAUAAAGAUUAAUUGGUAAAGGAUGGGGAUGCGUCCCAUUAGCUUGUUGGCGGGGUAACGGCCACCAAGGCGACGAUGGGUAGGGGUUCUGAGAGGAAGGUCCCCCACAUUGGAACUGAGACACGGUCCAAACUCCGUACGGAGGCA